GGGCCCAUAGCUCAAUUGGUAGAGCAGCGGACUCAUAAUCCGUUGGUUCCAGGUUCAAGUCCUGGUGGGCCCA
rnacentral:tRNA from 1 species